GUGGUGUGCGGUGAGAUCGUGAAACACUAUCACUUUGCUUUCUCCACUCAUGACUUGAUUCCUCCGCCAGCAUCCUCCUCUGUAGCACGACGCCUCCUCUGCAGCACGCCGUUCUCCGGCCACGGCGAUGCCCGGCGGCCCCUCUCCCCCAACCCACACCACCAACACAACCACCACGGCCUCGCCCCGUCUCGUCCUAUCCCCACCAUAGCCCCGCCCCGCCGGCCCUUACCCCCACGACGACCUCUCCCCGCCGGCCCUUAUCCACACAACGGCCUCUCCCCGCUAGCUCCUGUCACCACCGCGGCCUUGCCUCGCCGCCAACCCCGCUCAUCUUCCCUAGAUCAGCUCUGCCCCCGCCAUCGUACUGCCCAGAGCAGAUCGAGAUGCGAGCUGCUGUACAUGAUGUGGGAGGAGGCAUCUCGAAUUGGACCGAGAUUCAGUCCAUUGUGCCCGCCGUAAUCAUCGCCCCCCGUGCUUGGCUCACACAGUCGCUCCGGAAAGAGUUCGCAGCUUGUGUACGUGCUCGGUUGCUGAAGGUUGUAAUGUCGCAUUAUUACCGGCACUAAGUAACAAAGAGUUCCAGGGUCACAAGCAGGCGCCUUCGCCACAUUGUCAUUCAUUUGUGAGAUGUUUCUAUUUCUCUAUGUUGGCAUGGAUGAUAUAGAGUAGUGGAAGAAUGUUAGUGAAACACAUACAGGUAUGCUAUCUAUCUGCUUCUUUCCAUGCGAGGAGUAACAUAUUUGUUGUUCAAAUCUAGAAAUGGUAACACAUUUUCUAUACUAUAUGCAACCCAAUGAAAUGUAUGGCCUUGAGCUUCAUUAUUUAGGCCAGAUCUCAUGUGAGGUGGUCUGUCAAUUGCAUUGGCAUACCAAAUCUGUUAAUGAAAUGUGCUUCAGGAGUGCUAAGCAGUGAAAAAAUAAACAUAACAACAUACCAAAUGUACCCUAUUAAGCAUAAAUGGUUUGAGUUAUAUUAGGAGGCGUACCCAGUCGUCUGAAGACUGCUCUUAAUAUAUUAUUCUCUUUUCCAUGUUGUAACAUUUAGAUCAAUCCACUUACUGGAUUUUAAUUCCAUGUGCUCGGAUGCAUAUUUGAAUAAAUCAUCCGGUCCUUCUAGCUGUUGUACCAACAAAUGAAAAAAGUAUGAGCAUGAAAAGUGAGAAAUAAGAGGAAAAAUAGCUUCUUAUGAAAAGAUGGGUCAGUAGGACUAACUACUGACCGUAUUAGUGAAGUCCUUGCGGUUCAUUGAUGGGCCUAGCGAGUCGACACUUGAACACAUAGUUUCCUGGCAUUUAUAACACAUAGGUACCAGUGAACGUCGUCCAUGUUUAUUGGAAUGAAUAUCUGAAGAAAAUGAUUAUUUUAGUUGUACUCCUAUGUGGACGAACCGGUCGUUCUCGUUGUAAUUCAUAGAAAUAUGUAGAAAAGUAAGACUAGCCAUAUCAUUUUCCAAAAUACUCUUUGGCUCUGUUUAAUACCCAUGCUGGUGUGGCAUCUGUGUCAUCUGAGGACAGAUAGCAACCGAUCUUUAUCAUCUUAGAGAUGCAUGCACUCAAUAAGAACACACUUCCACCUGACCUUACUCGUAGAUGCUCUGUAGGUAAUCACAAUCUUCAUCAGCUAUAGAAAUUGAGUGACUGUAAGUUAGGAAAUCAAAGAUUGGAUAUGCAGUGUUUCAUGUAGCUGGCAUCACCUGUGUGGGAUUGUUUUUGUUCUAUCGUUGUAAUGACUACUGUAGAUUUGGCUCGACGCCGUUUGUCACGUAGGCUUUGUAAUAUACCUUGUCUAUGUUGCUCAUAUUGGCCACUUUCCAUCCGCCUCUUGAGUGCUUGUUUUGCUUCUGUAUAAUAAGUGUUAAUUAGGUACAAGACAACAUGAGCAAAAGUGUUUUGUCAAUCAGAUGUACGGUGUAAGUGUCAAUUAAGUAUGAUAGAUAAUAUGAGCCACAAUUGAGUACCAUAUGGAGUGCUGCAUCUGUAGGCUUGAAGUGGCGGUCGUAACACAGUCGGUUGGGAGGACUCAAUGUCAGAGUCGAUAUUAUGGACAUUUUCCUUGUUAGAACCAACACUGUCUGGUGUGCUCUUAAUGAAUUUGGAGCAUGAAGUGGAGUUUGAUCACUCAUUAUCAUAUCAACAGGUAUGCCUGCAUCAUAAUUGUAUGUACAAUGUCAGUUGUUGAGACACAAACUAAGGUAUUAUGUUUGACAAGAGAACACAUGACCUUCCGCAGCUGGGGUGUGUCGUUGUGGGGUGACAGCAGACUGCGCACUGGGCCUGUCCACAAUGUCAAAACAUGUCCAAAAGAAGACUUGAUUAAUACGACUUUACUUGUGAUUCAUGAAAUGUAUGAGAAAAUGGAGUAACCAGGCGACAUGGCCACGGGUGGCUUUGAUAGAGUGUUGGUUACAUUUAUAAUAGCAGACAUAGCUUUCUUAAAUCCCUUGCCUCCUGUCAUAAUUUUUUAGUAUUGCAUCCCUUUUUACCUCUCCCAUUCCCUUUGUCUCUUUAGUUCUUUUGGAUCUGUUUUUUGACCUGUGAGGCAACGAUAUAUUUUGGAUUUACAAGAUUGAAGUACGUAAGAGUACAUGAUAUAUGUAUUUACCUGAAUUGUCGUUGCUUGUCAGGUCCUGAAAGGGAGUACGUGCCCCACUAUGCUCAAAGGAUGCCAUAUUGUCAACUCAGUUUGUCAUGCAGAUCAUGAUGUACUAAAGUAGUCAUAUGUCCUCGAGAUGCUACGGGCCACACGGGGUGAUGACACCGCAGGUAGGGCAGCACGCCGUUGUCGAGGACGACCACCGGGUGGAGGACGUCGCGACCACCAGGGACGGCAGCGGUGUGGCGAUGAAGGCGGGGCGAGGAAAGGUUGGGCAGCAAGGCGGGUCGAGGAAUGACGUGCACCGGGGCGGAGGACAUUGCGGCCACGAGGGGCUAGGGCGGCGUGGCGACGACGGAGGGGCGAGGAGAGGUAGGGGAGCAAGGCGGGUCGAGGAUGUCUACCGGGUCGAGGACAUCGCAUACACCAGCGCUGAUCACGGCGGUUCCUGGCGUGGUGGCGGCGUAGAUCGUGGAGGUGCUGUUUAAUUCCCAGGAGGUGUCAUCGUGGGGUUGUGUAACAUCCUGAAUGGGGGAGUCUGCCGGCAAAACAUUUGUUGUGAACCGUUGAUUUGAUUGUAGUAUGGUUGAUGUAACGUGGACAGUUGGAUGGUAUCAAGUGGGUCUGAUCGGACGUGGGGGGUUAUCCCGUGUGCACUUUCUGGUGUGGAUGUAGGGGAAGUCAUGUUUGGUCU